CAUGAAUUCUCUCUUGGCAUCAAGCUGCAGAUGGAGCAAGAGGAUUCUAUUACAGCCAUCUGAGCAAACAGAGCAAAGAGGAGCAUCACAAUGGUGCUGGAAGGAAGGAAGAGGGCUUUCAGGCUCUUGAAGAGAGCUGCCCACCCGGAUCCUCUGGCUUUAAUCUCCAGGGCUCCAUUACAACAAGGAAGCAGGAGCAGCGUUGGCUGUGAUCUGGAAGUAGGGGCGGAGGUAAUACCUGACUACAAUUACUCAGCAUCCCCUGGAGCCACAGUCCCUGGGGACCAGAGGAGGCCCAGGCCCAGGACUCCUGAAGGCGGCUGCUAUUGCCACACAUCUAGAGGGAGAUCAUCACAUGGGUAGAGUGGGAACAGAGAAGACACCACGCCUGCUGAAUCUUCUCAGAUGGCUUCUUCUUCUUCUCUGGGGAAUGGAGGGUCUGCCUCCCUCCAACUGACACAUAGGCUGCUGUCAGUUGCUAAAGGAAACUGUGCACCCGUGAGGACUACAGCCACAACAAGAUCUCUCUCCACUCGCUCCUGGGCCCUCCAUGCCAAUCAGCAGUCUUCAGUGAGUCUUGUAAAGUUUCUUCUCUCUUCCCGAGCCCCAGCUGACCAUCUUCCUUUGGUCUCAGGAAUCGACUCAUGACUUCAUCGAGAAAAUUGGGCCAUAAAGCUUCGAGGACUUGAACAACCUGCUCCCCGUCCGUUUUACCUACAUUUACAACAAACCUCACCUACU